GGUCUAGCUUAAAAAACUAACAAGACAGAUAACUCUUAGAGUAAAAAAAAAUAGCUGACAGAUAAAGUAGAGAGAAAUAAACUCAUGCAAAACUAAAACCUAUUCAAUUAGAAACAUAUAUGGACUUGAAUUCAUUUUUUUGUUUGUACAUGGACAAAAAAUUAACCAAAGCUAUUAGUAUAAAUGCUACUUGAAAACACAUUUUUAAAAAAAUCAGUUCUACUAAAAACUACUAGAUUCAAUUAUAAAACAAACAUGAAAAACACCAACUUGCUGAGAUUUUUUUUUUUCCAAUCAAAAAGUUCAUGGUGAUAAACAGUUACUCCUCCCAAAGAGACACACUACAAGCCCUCAGUGUUUCAUCACAUGUAUGUACACAGACACACAACACUACAAGGCCCUGAACUCUGCUGUUCAUCACACCUCAAGGUAAGAGCAGGUGCGCAUCCUCACACACAAAGCUGGUCUAAAGGGGAUAAAACAUAAAAAACUAUGUACAGAUUGACUUGUCAACAAAAACCAAACAGACAUGAAAGUGAAGGAUAUAGGUUAUUGGUAACUUGAAAAAUUGUUACAUUUUUUGACACUGCUCUGUUGAAAAAACUAAAUAUAAAGAAGCAUGAGUAAUUUUCUAAAAAGUUAUGGACUAAUCGACCUGGCCAGUGAAAUUUAGAACAUUAAAACAUAUCUAGAAAGGAAAGAGACUAACUAGUCCACAGAGAACAUGACUACAAUUUGCUCACAUAACUAGUUCAAGAAAUUUUUAGAUGUCAGGUGUUCAUGGCAUGUUUGAUGGACCAUAUUUUAUACAAACACACUCACAAAAGAUGUUUCCAUAAAAAAUUCAAUAACAUGUAGGCUUUGUUUUACUUGUUUCGGAUGUUCCUUCAAAGUUGAAGAGGGUUACAUCGUAGCCCAAAGCUUCCCCCAGGAUGGCAUUGGCCAGGGCUCCAACCAGGGACCAUCAAAAUGACAGCCCAGAGACCAUACCACAUGAUCAGGCAGCCAUCCAUGUUAUAACAAUCCCUAACCCAGAAAACCGAAUAGA
rnacentral:sRNA from 1 species